rnacentral:rRNA from 1 species
UACGAAGGGGGCUAGCGUUGCUCGGAAUCACUGGGCGUAAAGGGUGCGUAGGCGGGUUUUUAAGUCAGAGGUGAAAUCCUGGAGCUCAACUCCAGAACUGCCUUUGAUACUGAAAGUCUUGAGUAUGGGAGAGGUGAGUGGAACUGCGAGUGUAGAGGUGAAAUUCGUAGAUAUUCGCAAGAACACCAGUGGCGAAGGCGGCUCACUGGCCCAUAACUGACACUAAGAUGCGAAAGCGUGGGGAGCAAACGGG